rnacentral:rRNA from 1 species
GUGGGGAAUCUUCCACAAUGGACGAAAGUCUGAUGGAGCAACGCCGCGUGAGUGAAGAAGGGUUUCGGCUCGUAAAGCUCUGUUGUCGUGGACGAAUGUGCAGUAUUUGAAUAAAGUACUGCAAUGACGGUACCUGACGAGGAAGCCACGGCUAACUACGUGCCAGCAGCCGCGGUAAUACGUAGGUGGCAAGCGUUGUCCGGAAUUAUUGGGCGUAAAGGGAGCGCAGGCGGGAAGGUAAGUCGGUCUUAAAAGUGCGGGGCUCAACCCCGUGAUGGGAUCGAAACUAUCUUUCUUGAGUGCAGGAGAGGAAAGUGGAAUUCCUAGUGUAGCGGUGAAAUGCGUAGAUAUUAGGAGGAACACCAGUGGCGAAGGCGACUUUCUGGACUGUAUCUGACGCUGAGGCUCGAAAGCCAGGGGAGCGAACUGGAUUAGAUACCCUUGUAGUCC